CUGAAACGUAGUAAAUCCCAUGAGUAUUUAAAUCAGAUUAUCUAUUGAAAAACCUGGAAAAUUGAAUUAAAUUGAAUUAAACUUUAAGUAGAUACCUGGUUUAGAUAUAUUUUUGUUUUAAUUAG
rnacentral:ribozyme from 1 species